ensembl:lncRNA
GGCCUCAGUAUGCUUAUCAAGGCCUUGGCUGAGCUGUGCUCGCUCCAGAGCUCCAACCUCACAACACUGCAGCUCUCUGUCCAUGAAGAGUUCCUUUCAAUCCUUUUGUCACUUUGCUAAGGCCAUCUUUUGAAACUUGACUCUGGUCGUCCUGGUUCGUUUGUACCACUUAGAAUAACAUGCACUAGAGUUGAAUGUCUCAAACUUAGGGCAUCAGAAUCACCGGGGAUCUUGACAGACUGUGGGUCUUAGCAGGUCUGGGUUGGUGCCCAGGGUUCUGAAUAUUUAGCAAACUCUCAGGUGAUACUUUAGGGUAGGAAAUACUCUGGCAAAUUCCUUAAACUCAGAGCCUUCUCUGAAGCUGGAUUCCUCUGAGAAUUAAGUGGGAGAAUGUUUGUAAGGGAGUGUUUUAAAAGCCGUUGUUUCCUGCGUUCCCUGACCGUCUCCACUCCCCAGUGGUGCACCUUCCCUGUCUGUGCUUACCCAUCGCUAGCAGGGCUCCUGGCAUCUCCUAGGGCCUUAAUGUUUGUUUAGUGGUGAGGGAAUGACCCGUGGAGGAAUUAACUGGGUUUUUGUGUUACUCAGAUGAACAUAAAAUUAAGACUGCCACUUUUGUUUUUUCCUUCUUUAGGAAUGCUUUAAGAUGACCAUUAAAUCUAAGCCCUAAGUGACAGACCCAGGUGUUGGACUCUGAGCUCAUUUCUGUAUACUUCGUCCUGUGGCCGUUAACUGUAGGCUCUAUUGCCAGAAGUCAACACUCAUUGACCAUUUUCAAGUACAACUUUGUAGACUAUUUCCAGUAGUUUUUUGUUGAAAACCAUUUCUUGUAGCAAGUGUCAAAUGGUAAUUCUUGUGAACUAUUUGAAAGUAUUGAUACUGCGUUUGGUUUAAGGAGAAAUUAGAAGUGAUCAGAACAGUGGUUCUCAAAACUUGUGGGAUUUGCUCUCACCUGGAGAACUUUUUAAAAGGAGGAUUCCCUUCUGUUGAUUUGCUGUCCUUUGGUACUCCAAACUAGAACCUGAUUGGAUGGCCAAGAAGUCAGGCCUGUGCAUCUUGUUAAAGUGAAGACCUUAACACCAGCGGCAGGCAGCAGCUGUGCUGUUUCGCUGUAGAUAAUUUGAGGAGGCCCCUAAGGCUGGGCAUUAAUCUGCUCAGUGCUUCUCCCACACAGGUAAGGCAAGCUUUGAAUAGGUACCAGAAACCAUUGUUUCCUGUCCUUGAGCAUUUGCUUUUGAAGGAAGGGUUUUAAUUGCUGAUUCUGCAAGUGUUCUGUGUAUAUUUAGUAUAAAAGUAAAAAAACUUAGUCGUUGUUUUAUUAAGUUUGUGAAAACAAAACACCAAAUUUGAACCAACAUACAACAUAUAGCAAAAAGUACACGAAAACAUCUUUGAAAGAAAGAAACAGAUAGGUUUCUAGACCAGUCCCAGACUGCCCGUGGCUGAGCUUUCUCCGUCUUAACUUGGGUUGGCUGUAAACUUGAAGGAUGGGUUGGAUCAAUGUUCGCACAGGCCUCACUGUUUUUCCUAGCCAGGUGUCUACUGUUAUUUAAUGUUUGUCUUUAGACUGCUUCCAGUUUUUGUUUUUUUGUUGCUGUUUUAUUACCAACAAAGCUGCAAGGAAUGUCUUUGUGCAUUUAUCUUCACGUACUUGUGUUUCCUUAGGAUAAAUUUUAAGAGGUAGAAUUACUGUGUCAAAGUGAUGUAAGGGUAGAUAGAUAGUACCAAUUUGCCUCCAAAAUAUUGUAGUUAUCUACUCCAACCAGUGUUGAGAGGAAACUCCUAUUUCGGGAACUGUCUCAUAAUUGUCAUUUUAUUAGCAUUUACCCCAGCCCCUAACUUGCUAACAGUGUUGCACAUAGUCAUUAACUUUUUAGAAAUAUUAAUGUGAAUUAAGUGGUUUUAAACUGGAUAAUUUCCACUUUCUACUUCUUAAAAUUCUACAGUCAAGAUGUACAGGAUUGUUCCAGCUUAUCAGUACAGAACUGAAAUCAUUCAAGUUCACACACUCCCACCCAGCCUUGUGCUACUAAUUUGUGAAUGGAAAGAUACUCCUCCUUCAACACACUAUACCACCAGGUGCCAGAAACUUGUGAACUAUAAAUCAAUGACUAGGCAAUGACUGCCCCCAUGCCAGGUUUGUGCAAAGAACUCGCAUAAUUGUAAGCACAGCCCUGCGCUGCUUCUGUGGUUCUUAAUUAUGGUCUACUAUCAUUGGAAAAUACAAAGUAGUAAUCCUAAAAUGAUAAUUAACAUUUAUUGAGCACUUAUGUGUCAGGUACUAUUGACUUUCAGUCUAACUACCCUUUCUAACAAACACUACUAUGCUGACUUUACCCAAGAGGAAACUGAUGCACAGAGAGGUCAAGGAAUCUUGUCAGUGCCAUUCAAAUCAUUCAGAAUGCCUCUAAUGCCAGUACUGUAUUCUGAAAAGUGCAAGCUACUCUAUGUUGAAACUUUUUUUUGUGUGUGUGUGAGGAAGAGUGACCCUAAGCUAACAUCUGUGCCAAUCCUCCUCUACUUAGUAUAUGGGAUGCUGCCUCAGCUUGGCUUGAUGAACAGUGUGUAGGUUCAUGCCUGGGAUCUGAACCUGCAAACCCCGGGGCUGCCAGAGUGGAGUGUGUGAAUUUAACCACUAGGCCAGCUCCUGGAACAUUUCUUAAUAGCAUAAUAAAGAUAAUUGGAACCUUGUGGAAACAUGUGGUGGGUAUAUGGAUAUUCAUCCUAUUAUUUUCUUUAUGUGCUUGAAAAGAUCUUAUUUAAGUCUUAUUUUUUAAAGUAAUAACAUGCUAUUUUUAACUCUGAGUUCUUUAUCUCUGAAAACUAAGUUAAAGCUUGACAACAUUCUUGGUCAACCAGCAUUUGGGGACCCCACUCUGGGCCAGGAGAACUCAAGGAAGCAGAAGCUGCCGCAGCUGCAGCCCUCAGGGAGUUCACGAGGUGGGGCUCAAAGCUCAGCUCCUGAUGCAGGAGGUCCUGUUCUCGGAGUCCUUUCUUGCUUGAGGAAGGGGGAAUGUGGGGAUGCACCAAGCGGGGAUCCCCAUAGGAGAUAAGCAGUACGGAAAUGAUGAAGACAAAAGUGCAAAGUGGAAUUUGAGUUUAUGGGGGAGAAAUCUCUCUCCCUUGCUCUCUUAACCACAAGAUACCACACAGUGAAGAAAACAAGAAACAGUAGCAGAGAAAUGCCCAUUGGCAGAUUAACAGAGUUGUAAGUACAGCUGCAUCCUGUUGUACCCCACAUCCCCACCCUAAAACUCUUGUCCAGCCUCCUUUGAGCUUGGGUAAUUUGAUCCUCACCUGGAGAGCCACUCUAGGCCAUAGAAGCAUAGGGAAGCUGUCAUGUGGUUCUUGGGGCCACCAAACCUCCCGCCUUACUAACCUGAGCCAAGAAGCAGAGAAGGCCUUGGUUUCUAGCAGGGAUAAAUGUGCCUGACUCCAGGAAAAGACUUGCUCAGACCACAAAUGCAUCUAUUUAUAUCUCGUAAUCUGCUGGGCCAGCAACAUGCUAAUAACCAGCUGGGCACGAUGGAGAGGCCACAGGCCAACUGUCAGAAUGGCGAGAGCCCUGCACUCGUGGUCAGAGAAAAUAACAGACGUGGAAGCGCUGCAUCAGCCAAAAAGCGGCAUAUGAAGUAUUCCAGCUGUUGUUACUGUGAGCUGGUUUCACCACCUACUGGUUUAUGUCCUUGGACAAGUCAACCUGUCUGAGCCUCAGUUUCUUCAUCUAUAAAAUGGAAACAGUAACUCUCUGUUUAUCUUAUAGGGCUCUUGGAAACUCAGAUGACAUAAUUUAUGCAAAAAUUCCCUGUAAACUGAGCAAAUGUAAAGUAGUAUUACUGAUAUCUGUUCUACUUAAAAACAGGACGAGCAAAGAGUGAUGGAUUCCAGGGCAGAAGUCAGUGGAGAGGUGAGGGAACCUUCUUCAGUAGCCGCCAGCCAGCCGUUUGCCAGACCCACUUUCCCUCAUUUCUGGGCACGCAGCUGGACUGUAUUCCCCAGCCUUUCUUGCAGUUAGCUGUGGCCGUGGAGCAGUUCCAGCCAAUGGAACAGUAGCGGCAGUAAUGUACAUCACUUGGAGGCCUGGUCCGUAAAAGUCCACCACUGCACUCCUCGGUGCCCUAACACACACAUGCACACACACACACCCCCAGCUGCUGGCUCCAUACAGACACUGUAACCUUGGAAGCCGGGCCUCAAGAUAGAGACGCUACAAGGUGACAGGACCCUGGGGCCCUGACUCACCAGUGGCUUGGAGCACAGCUACCCACUGAUCAGGAACAUCCUUUUUGGACUUUAUAGAGGAAGAAAUAAAUUUUUGUUACGUUUGGGCUGUUAUAUUAGCUUGAAUCAUAUGAAAUUGACAAUAUUUGUACUAUUUUUGACCCAUAAAAGUGAUAAUUUCAUAUGAUUCAACCUAAUAGAUAUUUUGAUUUGUUUCAGCAGCUGGUGUAACCUUGGACACCAUCCUAGAGGAAGUCUUGGUAACAGCCACAUUUUCAAAGGGUGGCCCAGCAGCACCACAGCCAGAAGGAGACUCCAAACUGGGCUAGAAGAGAGAAACAAUUGGUAAGGCCAAGGAGACCAUAGUCGGAGUCGGGUCUGAGGACGAAGAGAGUCCCCACAUGGGAAAAAAGUCCUGGGGUCAGAAUGGAAAUGAGUGGACAAGAAACAAAGUGGGAGGAGGUGAGAGCAAGCAAUUUUGGCGAGGUGCCGCGAGCAGCAUCUCCUGGGCCUCCUUCCCACACGGAUAGUACACGCGCCUCAGAACUCACAGCGCCCACGAUCCUACCACUCAGAGGCACUGUGUCAGACGCCAGGAUGUAGUGGUGAACAAGAAAACGACAGCCUCGGGCCGGCCCGGUAGAGCAGUGGUUAAGUGCACACGUUCCGUUUGGCGGCCCGGGAUUCGCCGGUUCAGAUCCUGGGUGCGGAUACCACACCGCUUGGCAAGCCAUGCUGUGGCAGGCGUCCCACAUAGAAAGCAGAGGAAGAUGGGCACAGAUGUGAGCUCAGGGCCAGUCUUCC